rnacentral:rRNA from 1 species
GAUGAACGCUGGCGGCGUGCCUAAUACAUGCAAGUCGAGCGAACAGACGAGGAGCUUGCUCCUCUGACGUUAGCGGCGGACGGGUGAGUAACACGUGGAUAACCUACCUAUAAGACUGGGAUAACUUCGGGAAACCGGAGCUAAUACCGGAUAAUAUAUUGAACCGCAUGGUUCAAUAGUGAAAGACGGUUUUGCUGUCACUUAUAGAUGGAUCCGCGCCGCAUUAGCUAGUUGGUAAGGUAACGGCUUACCAAGGCAACGAUGCGUAGCCGACCUGAGAGGGUGAUCGGCCACACUGGAACUGAGACACGGUCCAGACUCCUACGGGAGGCAGCAGUAGGGAAUCUUCCGCAAUGGGCGAAAGCCUGACGGAGCAACGCCGCGUGAGUGAUGAAGGUCUUCGGAUCGUAAAACUCUGUUAUUGGGGAAGAACAAAUGUGUAAGUAACUAUGCACGUCUUGACGGUACCUAAUCAGAAAGCCACGGCUAACGACGUG